AGAGAGAGUGAGAGAUUGUCAAAGAGAAAAGAGAUGACCUGUACCAGCUGUUUGGUCCAGGACUGGCGUCAUUGACAGAGCAAAACUUUGACUCUCACCGCCGUGUUGACCUAAUCCCUGAGCGAGCUCUCCCAGAUGGGCCGACAGAUUUAGAUCAGCCAUCCUGACCAGAACCGAACCAUGGCAUGACACGACAGCUUGAGGCUACCUAAAUUAAAAGAGGUGCAGCCUGAAGUCAUUAUGUUUUUUCAAGCCACUGACCAAUCGGCUGUAAGGCCUUUUAGAAGGCCCUGGUGACACCAACUGCUGAAGGCGCCUGCACUGCUCGUUCUGAAGGCCUAGGCAGAUUUAAUUAAAGAUAAGGUGUAAAUCUGACAAAUAAACAGAGAUGCUUGGACGUUCUGCCUAUCUGGUAUCUACAUGUUUCAUGGAAGAAAUAUGAUCAUGCGGUAUUAAAACGACAUGGGGAUAGACAGAGAAGAUAAAAGCCACCGUUGUAGCUAUUCUGCACAUCAAAAAGAGAAACGGGGUGUCCGUCCUGUGAACGCAUCCCAUCGAGCACUUGAUGCCUAGCCAGAGACGAGCAUCCGCUUCAGAAUCUCCGAGCUGUAAGAAAAACAAAGAAAACAGGAGGCUGGCCACAGAAAAAACUCCAUAUGUGGACAUGUGUGUCCAUGUGAGCGUAUGAAGGCAUUCGGCAAACUGUGAUCCCUCAUGGUAGCCUGUCCUGCGUGGUGAUGGGUUAGCUAUCGGCCGAUAGAGCCAUGCAGCUUUGAAAGGAAUAGAGCCCAAGGCGAGCUAAACAUACUCCAUCAUCCCUAAGCCUAGGGUUUGAGCUCUGUAUCCCAAGGAAUGGAAUGAAGAGAAAAAAUGUUCAGGUUAAGAAAAAUCCGAACACCAUAUCAUCUUCAGAGCAAGAGAGACGUGCAUGCCUGGCAGCUGUCGAUGAGAGCAGCUUAUGGUCAUUUCAAAUUCAUCUCUAUAUCAGAGCGUUCAGAUGUGUUCAGUACACCACAGGCAGGUGUAUUUGCGUGCAGAUGCCCCAACCCUGGAAGAGAACUAGAUUUCACUGGAUUUGGCCACCGCUAUCCGAGACCCCCGGAGACCAUGUGAGUGUGCUCAAAAAACUUAAUGUAGGACUCGUACAAAAAAAAGUAAAAAACCUAAAAACUAGAAUGGACAAGUAGGCCUGUUCUCCCCAGGUGUGUGGUUAAGUCUCUUGAUCUUGUGCGUUUGGUGUUGGCUGGGAUUUAUUUUAACACGGCUGAUAGUCUUUCACAGCUGCUAUGUCGUUUAAGUAAAGUGAAAACAAACAGCCCACUACUCCUGGGAAUGAGUGUUAAUCUGUUAUUUUGCUACACCUGUUGGGGGUGGUAGAUGAACAUAUGGGCCCCUUCGAAAACUGUGGUUGUAGAAAUAGCGUUUUGGAUGUUUGAAGGGUGCUUUGUAUAUAUGUAUAUAUUUUUUAUUGUUAUAUAUUUUGUGCGAGUGAGAGAGAGAGAGUGAAUGAGACAUUUUAUGGUUCCUGUAUUGCGGACCACUUACUGCCAACAAGACGGUCCCAAAAGAAGCAGCGUUUUUAAUCAAGACUCUUGUGUUUUACUGUCAUUGUGUUGGCAGAAGUAUACACCACAAUCUAUGUCAGCUGAGCAUUGCGGCUUACAGUAUGUGUUAAUUUAGCAGUCAUUUCACAUGUGACUAAGAGAGUCAUUAAAGCGC